UGGGGAAUUUUGGACAAUGGGGGAAACCCUGAUCCAGCCAUCCCGCGUGUGCGAUGAAGGCCUUCGGGUUGUAAAGCACUUUUGGCAGGAAAGAAACGUCAUGGGUUAAUACCCCGUGAAACUGACGGUACCUGCAGAAUAAGCACCGGCUAACUACGUGCCAGCAGCCGCGGUAAUACGUAGGGUGCAAGCGUUAAUCGGAAUUACUGGGCGUAAAGCGUGCGCAGGCGGUUCGGAAAGAAAGAUGUGAAAUCCCAGAGCUCAACUUUGGAACUGCAUUCUUAACUACCGGGCUAGAGUGUGUCAGAGGGAGGUGGAAUUCCGCGUGUAGCAGUGAAAUGCGUAGAUAUGCGGAGGAACACCGAUGGCGAAGGCAGCCUCCUGGGAUAACACUGACGCUCAUGCACGAAAGCGUGGGGAGCAAACAGG
rnacentral:rRNA from 1 species